GUCGUGGGUCCUGCACGACCCAAGGAGUGUUUCAAAAAACAUGUUUUUUUCCCAUAAAUUAUCACCCAUGUCCAAUGCGGGUGUAAUCGACCUGCAGACGUCUAGUAUACUGUCAGGUUUGAUGGUGAGCAGAUGUGCCAGCCCCUCUCUUCAGUGCAUCCCUAUUUUCUGAGGUACCACUAGGGUCAAGGACGACCCACAUCUUAGUAGAAAGUGCUGCGCAAGCGUGUUCGCUGCCGAAGUUGCCCAUCUAGAGACGACCACAAGAACGAACACAGCAUGUUUGCGAUGCAACGGGCCCGUCUGCCUACAGCAUCAAACUGUCUUGUGUCCGAAGUGUGUGCCUCGUACGUAGGUAGCAAAUUUGGCCGUCGCACUUGUCGUGGGUGGGGCCCUAUUUACUGUACAUAUCCAUUAGGUAGCAAAUUUGGCCGUCGCACUUGUCGUGGGUGGGGGCCCAUUUACUGUAUAUAUCAAUUAGGUAAGUUGCAUACCGCUAUAUAUUCUUGUUCUCUAUAGAAUUUGUGAUAUUCUGGUAGAUUUUCAUGCAUAAAUACCAUAUCUUAUAGUAGUU